GGAUUACAGGGAUUGACGGAGCGGGAACCUCUUUUUUUCUAAGAUGGCGAUCCAUGAUAUUGCCUUGCUGAACUGAGAAUGUCUGCAGCUGUGCCAUACAUGUGUUCAUUAUGAUUGUACUGCCUAAAAUAGGCAACAUUCUGGUUAGUAUCUUCACUUCUUCAACUUGGGUCACUGUGCAUACCGUCCACGGUGUUAGCUUUGAGUCAUUUGUAACAAUUGCAGCUUUGUCUAGGCACCUGCCCACGAUUCACGAUCGGUUUUGUCAAAUUUUGAUUUUCUAGCUGUUAGUAACUUUAAAUAUUUUUAGAUGCAAUCACAUGCAUCACCUGAAUUGAUUGGUGUGGGAGAUUGUUUCCUCCCUGAAAACUUUUUCUUUUUCAUUCAUCUCGAACAGUUCAUCUGGAUUCUCUGGCAGAGCUAACCGUCUGUUUUUGAUGGCUACCGCUAUGACCUGUGAUUAUAACAAAUAGGGGCGACAGAAGUGUUACCCUUGUUUCUAUUUGACUCUGGCACUGAUAUGUUAUGGUCUUAUAAAAAUUGCAGAGAAGGAGAGAGAUUGACCUGAGCUAUUCUUAUGAUGGGGCUAUCAGAGGGUGUGGGUUCGCGCAGGCGGUAGUAAGGCUUGCCCAGUGCAAGAACAACAAAACCAAUGAAGGUAGCCACGGUUGAUAUGAAGAACCCCCAGUACCA
rnacentral:lncRNA from 1 species